AUGAGUGUGGUUUCCCUCCAACAGCCGGCCACUGGUGUCCAGGAACAGGGAUCCACUGCUGAGCGUAAGUAAAAAAUGCUUUGCAGGCAUACUAGUUUAUGUAACAGGCAGGGCCGGGUCGACCACUAAGCAAACUAAGCAUUUGCCUAGCACGCACUGUCAAGGGGGCUCAAUGUCUGGGUGACCAGCAGGGGUGGGGGGGAGCUCACAUCGCUCCUCUCCUUCUGUUCACUUUAUGUACUGUGGACCACAUGUGAUCUUCUCUACCAUCUACUUGGCCUGACAGGAAGCCGAGUGCAACCAUCAGCUUCCUGUCAUGCAGAAGAAACAGGAGAUUCUCUACCUGGGAACGCUCGGCCACGAUACAUGUAGUGAGAUUAGAAGGAAAGGGAGGUGGGCACAAACACAUGCGUUGAGAGGUCACAAAGAGACAGAGAAAGGGCUAGGGGGGACAAAGAUGCAUAACUAUACUUAGACAUAAUAAUAAAUUAAUAGCAUGACUGCAUACAUCUUAUUUCCAAGUUUAAAUAAUAUUGUUGUAUAGAUGAUAGUAAGCAUUGCAACAUAUGACACAUGCUAGCAAUGUUCUUUCUCUGUUCUCCCCUAUAGGUUCUGAUGGUACUCUCCCCCUGCAAGAGGAGGGUACCAUUACCCUAACAGCAGUGGAUCCUGAUUCAGUGACAUCAGUGGCCGAAGAAAUGCAGUUGCCACAACUUCCUCCACUGUUGGCUGCGCUGUAUGCGACGAUCCAGGCUCGUCAAGCUGAACUGGAGA
rnacentral:lncRNA from 1 species